rnacentral:lncRNA from 1 species
GCCAUUCCGCCAUUGUCUCCGACACGCGACACUUGUCAGUUGUCACACUAUGCCUUGAAACUGCAGUCUACUAGGCUCUAGGCUGUAGCAAUGGAAUAGUGAAAUUUUUUUGUUCUGUUAAUAUUUUUGUCGAAAUGUCGAGUUGAAACUUGAAACCUAUGAAUGUUGGCUGCUUCACUAGAAUGUAUGGGUCCUAGACUAGAUUGAUCUAUUUCAACAUGUGCAGAGAAUUCUACUGUUGCGGCCCGGAGUUGCUGCAACGUGUGUACAGCUGGUGGUAACUGGUUGAUCCUUCUCGACGUUGCGCGUUCGUGAUCACCAGAAUAUGUAAAGGGCGAAGAAGGGAUGGAAAUUAUGGAUUGUUAGUUGA